rnacentral:rRNA from 1 species
GAUGAACGCUAGCGACAGGCCUAACACAUGCAAGUCGAGGGGCAUCGGGACGUAGCAAUACGUUGCCGGCGACCGGCGGAUGGGUGAGUAACGCGUAUGCAACCUACCCGUAGCAGGGGGAUAGCCCGUUGAAAGACGGAUUAAUACCCCGUAACACAGGGGCUCCGCAUGGAGAUUAUUGUUAAAGGGUCAUUUCUUUUUCAGGGAUGGUCCGGCUGCGGAUGGGCAUGCGUUCCAUUAGGUAGUUGGGGUGUAGGUAACUGCUCACCAAGCCGACGAUGGAUAGGGGAACUGAGAGGUUGGUCCCCCACACUGGUACUGAGACACGGACCAGACUCCUACGGGAGGCAGCAGUGAGGAAUUUUGGCAAUGGACGCAAGUCUGAACCAGCCAUGUCGCGUGAAGGAGGACGGCCCUAAGGGUUGUAAACUUCUUUUGCUAGUGGAAUAAAGUUUGCCACGUGUGGCGAUUUGCAAGUACGCUGCGAAUAGGAUCGGCUAACUCCGUGCCAGCC